AGCGAACGCUGGCGGCAUGCCUAACACAUGCAAGUCGAACGAGACCUUCGGGUCUAGUGGCGCACGGGUGCGUAACGCGUGGGAACCUGCCCUUAGGUUCGGAAUAACUCCCCGAAAGGGGUGCUAAUACCGGAUAAUGUCUUCGGACCAAAGAUUUAUCGCCUUUGGAUGGGCCCGCGUUGGAUUAGCUAGUUGGUAGGGUAAAAGCCUACCAAGGCGACGAUCCAUAGCUGGUCUGAGAGGAUGAUCAGCCACACUGGGACUGAGACACGGCCCAGACUCCUACGGGAGGCAGCAGUGGGGAAUAUUGGACAAUGGGCGAAAGCCUGAUCCAGCAAUGCCGCGUGAGUGAUGAAGGCCUUAGGGUUGUAAAGCUCUUUUACCCGGGAUGAUAAUGACAGUACCGGGAGAAUAAGCUCCGGCUAACUCCGU
rnacentral:rRNA from 1 species